GAUGAAGUGACUGAAGUGUAAGUAUUAGACUGUAAAUUUAAACAUGAUUAAUUAGUUAAUCCUUCUUCA
rnacentral:tRNA from 1 species